rnacentral:rRNA from 1 species
UACGUAGGGUGCGAGCGUUAAUCGGAAUUACUGGGCGUAAAGCGUGCGCAGGCGGUUUUGUAAGCCAGAUGUGAAAUCCCCGGGCUUAACCUGGGAAUGGCAUUUGGGACUGCGAGGCUGGAGUGCGGCAGAGGAGACUGGAAUUCCUGGUGUAGCAGUGAAAUGCGUAGAUAUCAGGAGGAAUACCGAUGGCGAAGGCAGGUCUCUGGGCUGACACUGACGCUCAUGCACGAAAGCGUGGGGAGCAAACAGG